rnacentral:rRNA from 1 species
AACAGGAUUAGAUACCCUGGUAGUCCACGCCGUAAACGAUGUCGACUUGGAGGCUGUUUCCUUGAGAAGUGGCUUCCGGAGCUAACGCGUUAAGUCGACCGCCUGGGGAGUACGGCCGCAAGGUUAAAACUCAAAUGAAUUGACGGGGGCCCGCACAAGCGGUGGAGCAUGUGGUUUAAUUCGAUGCAACGCGAAGAACCUUACCUACUCUUGACAUCCACGGAAUUUGGCAGAGAUGCCUUAGUGCCUUCGGGAACCGUGAGACAGGUGCUGCAUGGCUGUCGUCAGCUCGUGUUGUGAAAUGUUGGGUUAAGUCCCGCAACGAGCGCAACCCUUAUCCUUUGUUGCCAGCGAUUCGGUCGGGAACUCAAAGGAGACUGCCGGUGAUAAACCGGAGGAAGGUGGGGAUGACGUCAAGUCAUCAUGGCCCUUACGAGUAGGGCUACACACGUGCUACAAUGGCGCAUACAAAGAGAAGCGACCUCGCGAGAGCAAGCGGACCUCAUAAAGUGCGUCGUAGUCCGGAUCGGAGUCUGCAACUCGACUCCGUGAAGUCGGAAUCGCUAGUAAUCGUGGAUCAGAAUGCCACGGUGAAUACGUUCCCGGGCCUUGUACACACCGCCCGUCACACCAUGGGAGUGGGUUGCAAAAGAAGUAGGUAGCUUAACCUUCGGGAGGGCGCUUACCACUUUGUGAUUCAUGACUCGGGUGAAGUCGUAACAAGGUAGC